rnacentral:rRNA from 1 species
UACGUAGGGUGCGAGCGUUGUCCGGAAUUAUUGGGCGUAAAGGGCUCGUAGGCGGUCUGUCACGUCGGGAGUGAAAACUCAGGGCUUAACCCUGAGCCUGCUUCCGAUACGGGCAGACUAGAGGUAUGCAGGGGAGACUGGAAUUCCUGGUGUAGCGGUGAAAUGCGCAGAUAUCAGGAGGAACACCGGUGGCGAAGGCGGGUCUCUGGGCAACAACUGACGCUGAGGAGCGAAAGCGUGGGGAGCGAACAGG